rnacentral:lncRNA from 1 species
ACCUUGUGCUUGUUGGUUUUUUGCAGCAGUCCAUAACCGAGUGACGGUUCGACGGCAAAUGGCAAACUUGAUGGCGGCAGCCUGCAUUCUGCCCCUUUUUGGCUUCCCACCAUGGCUGUCUUCAAGCAGAAACUGCACUAUGGAGUUUCUCUCUCCCGUUGUUAGAUCCUUGCGCCGCAUUUUUCCUUUUUUUCCUAGUGUUUUUUGGGCAAUUUGU